rnacentral:rRNA from 1 species
UACGUAGGGCGCAAGCGUUAUCCGGAAUUAUUGGGCGUAAAGAGCUCGUAGGCGGUUUGUCGCGUCUGCCGUGAAAGUCCGGGGCUCAACUCCGGAUCUGCGGUGGGUACGGGCAGACUAGAGUGAUGUAGGGGAGACUGGAAUUCCUGGUGUAGCGGUGGAAUGCGCAGAUAUCAGGAGGAACACCGGUGGCGAAGGCGGGUCUCUGGGCCGAAACUGACGCUGAGGAGCGAAAGCGUGGGGAGCGAACAGG